CCUACGGGAGGCAGCAGUGGGGGAUAUUGCACAAUGGGGGUACGCCUGAUGCAGCGACGUCGCGUGAGUGAAGAAGGAUCUCUGUAUGUAAAGCUCUAUCAGCAGGGAAGAAAAUGACAGUACCUGACGAAGAAGCCCCGGCUAACUACGUGCCAGCAGCCGCGGUAAUACGUCGGGGGCAAGCGUUAUCCGGAUUUACUGGGUGGAAAGGGAGCGUAGACGGUUAUGUAAGUCUGGAGUGAAAGCCCGGGGCCCAACCCCGGGACUGCUUUGGAAACUGUGUAACUGGAGUACAGGAGGGGCAGGCGGAAUUCGUGGUGUAGCGGUGAAAUGCGUAGAUAUCAGGAGGAACACCGACGGCGAAGGCGGCCUGCUGGACUGAAACUGACGUUGAGGCUCGAAAGCGUGGGGAGCAAACAGGAUUAGAUACCCGAGUAGUC
rnacentral:rRNA from 1 species